UACGUAGGGUGCGAGCGUUGUCCGGAAUUACUGGGCGUAAAGAGCUCGUAGGUGGUUUGUCGCGUUUGUUCGUGAAAACCGGGGGCUUAACCCUCGGCGUGCGGGCGAUACGGGCAGACUUGGGUACUGCAGGGGAGACUGGAAUUCCUGGUGUAGCGGUGAAAUGCGCAGAUAUCAGGAGGAACACCGGUGGCGAAGGCGGGUCUCUGGGCCGAUACUGACGCUGAGGAGCGAAAGCGUGGGGAGCAAACAGG
rnacentral:rRNA from 1 species